CCCGGGCGGGGGCUCCACGGCCAGCAGCGACCAGUCCGGGGGGGGGGGGGGUCCCCGGCCGUGAGUAACAGCAAUGCCCGGAGCCCCAGGCCAUGGCCCCUAGACCGGACCCACACUUCAGGGCUCUCUGCUCAGAGCCGCACCUCCCCAAAGUGGCUGUGCGCCCUCCCUUGUCCCAGCGAGCGUCCACCCGCAGGGCCCCCAGGUGGGCUCAGGCUCAGCAGCCCCCCGCCUGCCCGGUCCCCCUGGAGCACACGUGGCUCCCGGGGCUGCCCGGGCAGCGGCUCCAGAGCAGUCGGGCUGGGGCGGCAGGGAGGGGCUGUGUCCCCGCCCCAGGGCCUGCCAGCGGUCACCCGGAGCGCCCCGGUCCAUCCGCCCUGGCCUCCCCAGAGCCAUCCCCAGCGUUCGGGUAAUUUCCAGCCUCCGCCCCUGAUUAACGGCUGCUCUGGGGCUCUUUCCUCCGGCCCCAGCUGGAUAAACAGGCCCAGCCCUGAUAGGCCCGAGGAAGGACGGGAGGAGGCGGGCGGAGAGGCCAGGAAGCCAGGGAGGGGCCAAACUGGAAAAACGAGGUGCCGGGCCAGGGGCUUGUGCCAGGGUCAGUGUCCAGGGACCACCCCGGCAGAUUACCCCAGGGUGGAGGGCAGCCCCUCACCCGCCCCUGCCCUGCUCAGGCAGCCGGGCAACCCGGGGUGGGGUGGGGGGCCCAGCCUCGACCUCCCCGCCCCUGGGGCCCCAGCCUCAAAGCUGCAUCCUGCACUCGGCCAGCACCCCGUGGCCCCCGCGUGCCUCUGAGACAGUGGCCAUCCAGCCGCGGGUCACACACGACAGCUGCAAACCCCAGCCCCUCCCUGGGUCCCUGUACUGCAGACACCCUGGGGAGCCCGGUCUCGGCCCCCACUUCAGAGAUGAGCCAACAUUCACGUGCCCGGGGAUCCCAGCUGGGGAGCUCCAGGACGAGCCCCCGGGGCCCCCGGAGGAUAUGGUCUCUCUGCCAGCGACUCAGCCCCUCUCACCAGGACACUGAUG
rnacentral:lncRNA from 1 species